rnacentral:rRNA from 1 species
CGGAGGGCAGCAGGCGCGCAAAUUGCCCAAUGUCAAAAAAAAAACGAUGAGGCAGCGAAAAGAAAUAGAGCCGGCAGUGCCACUGGCAUUGCCGUUUUCAAUGGGGGAUAUUUAAACCCAUCCAAAAUCGAGUAUCAAUUGGAGGACAAGUCUGGUGCCAGCACCCGCGGUAWUUCCAGCUCCAAAAGCGUAUAUUA